GUCCACGCCGUAAACGUUGGGCACUAGGUGUGGGUCUCAACCAACGAGAUCCGCGCCGUCGCUAACGCAUUAAGUGCCCCGCCUGGGGAGUACGGUCGCAAGACUAAAACUCAAAGGAAUUGACGGGGGCCCGCACAAGCAGCGGAGCGUGUUGCUUAAUUCGAUGCAACGCGAAGAACCUUACCUGGGUUUGACAUGUAGGGAAAAGCUCUAGAGAUAGGGUGUCCUUCGGGCCGUUACACAGGUGGUGCAUGGCUGUCGU
rnacentral:rRNA from 1 species